UGGGGAGCCCCGGAAAAGCAGCAGCACUUCUCUUUCUCUUUAAUGGAACCUAGCAAUCAAUUCUUAGCAGCUCACGGAGAAGCAAUUUGAAACACUAAGCAGUUUCCUCUCCUUCUGCCCCCCAGUUCUGAAAUCAUGAACUGAUGGCUUUAUCUGCGUGCUUUAGGCAUAGUGGGUAAGAAGGACAGUUCGUCACUUAAAUAUGUGAAUGCUUCUCCCGGUCUUCUAGAUUUAUCAUUCUGAUACAAGAUUAUUUUGCUUUUAGGGUACUUACCAAAGCCUUUUCUCUCAGACUCCCUGUCGGAGCUGAUUUUUCAGCCUGAGGCACUCUGACUCCCCUUCCCCUUUCCCUACUCACCAGCUGCUGAAAGAUUUCAUGAAAUUGCCUUUAAAUGAACCUGUGCCUGGACUUCUUUCAAAGCAGCCGGGUGAUUCCUGAGGUCCCUUCCAACAUGAGCUUUUCUGUGGUCCCAGGAUUUUAUGAGGUGUCUUUAGGGUGCCCCACCAUCCCCCAGAGGCUGGAAAUUUACCAUUAAAAACAUGCUAGGAGAGCUUUUUCCCAUUAUUUUGACUCUGGGAGCUGGGAAUUAACAAGAGCUCCAACAUCCCAGUGCUGGGUGCUCGGUGCAGCAGCCCAAGGCCAGGGCUGGUGCAUGUACGGGCCCUUGUGCACUGUGUGUCCCCAUAUCCCAAAUGUGCCCUACGGACAAGGGCUAACCCUGCCUGUGCCACUGCCAAACCAGUCUUUCUGACCAUGUUUCUCUUAUUCAUAGGGCAAACGCCAGUCUCACAGGAGGAGGAAAAAAUUGCCUGGAGAUUUGACUGCUGAGCCUGACGAAAAUCUCCUUUUUUCCAUGCCUAUAAAAGAAGGCUAAUCCGCCAACUGAAAGCCAAGUCCUUUGCCCUUCCCGGUGCUGAGCCGUGACGCAGAGAAAAAUACUCUGCCAGCAGUAAUCGCGUCGCAACUGUUGCCUGCGGCCUGCUUUACGCUGGAUGGGAAGUCAGCAAGUGAUAUGUUUCCAAAUGACCCCCGUCAGUG